rnacentral:rRNA from 1 species
ACGAACGCUGGCGGCGUGCCUAAUACAUGCAAGUCGAACGCUUCUUUCCUCCCGAGUGCUUGCACUCAAUUGGAAAGAGGAGUGGCGGACGGGUGAGUAACACGUGGGUAACCUACCCAUCAGAGGGGGAUAACACUUGGAAACAGGUGCUAAUACCGCAUAACAGUUUAUGCCGCAUGGCAUAAGAGUGAAAGGCGCUUUCGGGUGUCGCUGAUGGAUGGACCCGCGGUGCAUUAGCUAGUUGGUGAGGUAACGGCUCACCAAGGCCACGAUGCAUAGCCGACCUGAGAGGGUGAUCGGCCACACUGGGACUGAGACACGGCCCAGACUCCUACGGGAGGCAGCAGUAGGGAAUCUUCGGCAAUGGACGAAAGUCUGACCGAGCAACGCCGCGUGAGUGAAGAAGGUUUUCGGAUCGUAAAACUCUGUUGUUAGAGAAGAACAAGGACGUUAGUAACUGAACGUCCCCUGACGGUAUCUAACCAGAAAGCCACGGCUAACUACGUGCCAGCAGCCGCGGUAAUACGUAGGUGGCAAGCGUUGUCCGGAUUUAUUGGGCGUAAAGCGAGCGCAGGCGGUUUCUUAAGUCUGAUGUGAAAGCCCCCGGCUCAACCGGGGAGGGUCAUUGGAAACUGGGAGACUUGAGUGCAGAAGAGGAGAGUGGAAUUCCAUGUGUAGCGGUGAAAUGCGUAGAUAUAUGGAGGAACACCAGUGGCGAAGGCGGCUCUCUGGUCUGUAACUGACGCUGAGGCUCGAAAGCGUGGGGAGCAAACAGGAUUAGUUACCCUGGUAGUCCACGCCGUAAACGAUGAGUGCUAAGUGUUGGAGGGUUUCCGCCCUUCAGUGCUGCAGCAAACGCAUUAAGCACUCCGCCUGGGGAGUACGACCGCAAGGUGGAAACUCAAAGGAAUUGACGGGGGCCCGCACAAGCGGUGGAGCAUGUGGUUUAAUUCGAAGCAACGCGAAGAACCUUACCAGGUCUUGACAUCCUUUGACCACUCUAGAGAUAGAGCUUUCCCUUCGGGGACAAAGUGACAGGUGGUGCAUGGUUGUCGUCAGCUCGUGUCGUGAGAUGUUGGGUUAAGUCCCGCAACGAGCGCAACCCUUAUUGUUAGUUGCCAUCAUUUAGUUGGGCACUCUAGCGAGACUGCCGGUGACAAACCGGAGGAAGGUGGGGAUGACGUCAAAUCAUCAUGCCCCUUAUGACCUGGGCUACACACGUGCUACAAUGGGAAGUACAACGAGUCGCUAGACCGCGAGGUCAUGCAAAUCUCUUAAAGCUUCUCUCAGUUCGGAUUGCAGGCUGCAACUCGCCUGCAUGAAGCCGGAAUCGCUAGUAAUCGCGGAUCAGCACGCCGCGGUGAAUACGUUCCCGGGCCUUGUACACACCGCCCGUCAAGCCAUGGAAGCCGGGAGUGCCUGAAGUGCGUGACCGCAAGGAGCGCCCUAGGGUAAAACCGGUGACUGGGGCU